rnacentral:rRNA from 1 species
ACACAUGCAAGUCGAGCGGUAACAGAUCCAGCUUGCUGGAUGCUGACGAGCGGCGGACGGGUGAGUAAUGCAUAGGAAUCUGCCCGAUAGUGGGGGAUAACCUGGGGAAACCCAGGCUAAUACCGCAUACGUCCUACGGGAGAAAGGGGGCUCCGGCUCCCGCUAUGGGAUGAGCCUAUGUCGGAUUAGCUAGUUGGUGAGGUAACGGCUCACCAAGGCCACGAUCCGUAGCUGGUCUGAGAGGAUGAUCAGCCACAUCGGGACUGAGACACGGCCCGAACUCCUACGGGAGGCAGCAGUGGGGAAUAUUGGACAAUGGGGGAAACCCUGAUCCAGCCAUGCCGCGUGUGUGAAGAAGGCCCUCGGGUUGUAAAGCACUUUCAGCGAGGAAGAACGCCUAGCGGUUAAUACCCGCUAGGAAAGACAUCACUCGCAGAAGAAGCACCGGCUAACUCCGUGCCAGCAGCCGCGGUAAUACGGAGGGUGCAAGCGUUAAUCGGAAUUACUGGGCGUAAAGCGCGCGUAGGUGGCUUGAUAAGCCGGUUGUGAAAGCCCCGGGCUCAACCUGGGAACGGCAUCCGGAACUGUCAAGCUAGAGUGCAGGAGAGGAAGGUAGAAUUCCCGGUGUAGCGGUGAAAUGCGUAGAGAUCGGGAGGAAUACCAGUGGCGAAGGCGGCCUUCUGGACUGACACUGACACUGAGGUGCGAAAGCGUGGGUAGCAAACAGGAUUAGAUACCCUGGUAGUCCACGCCGUAAACGAUGUCGACCAGCCGUUGGGUGCCUAGCGCACUUUGUGGCG